CGUAGGUGAACCUGCGGAGGGAUCAUUACACAAAUAUGAAGGCGGGCUGGAAUCUCUCGGGGUUACAGCCUUGCUGAAUUAUUCACCCUUGUCUUUUGCGUACUUCUUGUUUCCUUGGUGGGUUCGCCCACCACUAGGACAAACAUAAACCUUUUGUAAUUGCAAUCAGCGUCAGUAACAAAUUAAUAAUUACAACUUUCAACAACGGAUCUCUUGGUUCUGGCAUCGAUGAAGAACGCAGCGAAAUGCGAUAAGUAGUGUGAAUUGCAGAAUUCAGUGAAUCAUCGAAUCUUUGAACGCACAUUGCGCCCUUUGGUAUUCCAAAGGGCAUGCCUGUUCGAGCGUCAUUUGUACCCUCAAGCUUUGCUUGGUGUUGGGCGUCUUGUCUCUAGCUUUGCUGGAGACUCGCCUUAAAGUAAUUGGCAGCCGGCCUACUGGUUUCGGAGCGCAGCACAAGUCGCACUCUCUAUCAGCAAAGGUCUAGCAUCCAUUAAGCCUUUUUUUCAACUUUUGACCUCGGAUCAGGUAGGGAUACCCGCUGAACUUAAGCAUAUCAAUAAGCCGGAGGGAA
rnacentral:rRNA from 1 species